UACAGAGGAUGCAAGCGUUAUCCGGAAUGAUUGGGCGUAAAGCGUCUGUAGGUGGCUUUUUAAGUCCGCCGUCAAAUCCCAGGGCUCAACUCUGGACAGGCGGUGGAAACUACCAAGCUGGAGUACGGUAGGGGCAGAGGGAAUUUCCGGUGGAGCGGUGAAAUGCGUAGAUAUCUGGAGGAACACCGGUGGCGAAGGCGGCAUCCUGGACCGACACUGACACUGAGGAGCGAAAGCCAGGGGAGCAAACGGG
rnacentral:rRNA from 1 species